AGGGCGACGUACAUCACAUUGUAGGAUUAACAUGUGAGUAGCAAUCAGAGAGAGAGAGAGAGAGAGAGAGAGAGAGAGAGAGAGAGAGAGAGAUCCGCAUAAGUCUAUACACACUAGUUUUUAAAACAUACAUAAUUAAACACAGGGGCAUCGUAUCCACUCUACACUCUAUCAUAUAUAAUAGAGUGUAGAGCGGAUACGAUGCCCCUGUGGUUGAAAUAUUACCACGCGCUUGUAUAAUAUAUCAUUGACUGAUUUUUAUUUAAAAAAUGAAUUAAACUCCAAAGUAUUCCAAAUACUUUUAAAAAAUGAAUGUAAUUUAUCAGCAUUUUUACCCCUAUGGACCUCUAAUUAUGAAUGUUUUAUGUGAAAAUGACAUAUCAAUUAAAUGUGUUUUGUUCUUUAAAAUAAAAUAUGGAUAAAAUAUCUCGCUUUUGUAAUUUUAAAGCCCCCCAUAAAAUCAAAAUGAAAUUGGGCGUAUAUUUCUAUCGAUUUAAUGAACCAUUUUUUUCUGAUAUUUAAAAUCCUAAAUAUGAAUAUACAAAAAUAUAUUUUGAGGUCCCCAUUACAAAUACACACAUACUACCCAAAUGUUUUUUCACGUAAGGAAAUUCUAUAGAAAAUCUACUAAAGACAUGUAAAUUUUGAUUUCAGGCCCGAGCUAGUUUGCUUAAUUGUUUUUCGCGAUAGGAAGAGAUGUUCGGCUAUGACUCUGGAAAUUAUCAAAUGUUUUCAGUACAAAAUCAUGGACAUGUCCAGUGUGUUUUUAAUAUUCGGCGCUGUCCGUGUCUAGCUCCAAACUCUGUAUAUAGCUGAAGAAACAUUAUACAAAGUGACUGAUUCACUUCCAAAAUUAUAGCUUAAUCAACUUAGUUGCGGAAAUCAACACACAAAUUUAUAACAGGUGUAGCGCACUUAUUGGUGGGACAAAUUUAAAAUUAAUGAAUCACGUAUUGAUUUAAUCUUUAUGUAAAGUUUCCGAUAAUUCUGCUGGUGUAGUUUAUGAUAAAACUUACUGAUUGUAUCUGAUAAAAAUAAAAAAUACUUAAUAACUAAAAUACGAAUAAAACAACGAAAUGACACCCCCUCUAUCCGUCAACCCCAACCCUACCGACACCAC
rnacentral:misc_RNA from 1 species